AUGGUGGACGGGGAGGCGGCUGCUGUGCGGAUGAUGCACCACCGGCUGGUGGCGACGGGCAAAUCGCAUGAGCCGCUCUCCUCCUUCAGCCAUCACUUUGAACGCCUGCCGCGGAGCUACUUGCACACCCGCUGUGUGGGGUCGCCGGAAGACGUGCUGCUCGACCAGAAGCUCCUCGCCGACACCGAAGCAAAGAAGCGCCUCGUCGCCCACGCCCGCCUCAUGCACCGUGUUCAGGUCCACUACGAUGAUGACGGCGGCGGCUAUCCGCGUGGGGCUCAGCCACCGCUGCCGGAGUUGAGAUCAAGUAGAAGUACAAUGCAAGAUGAAAACUUUACCCAUGAGAUUAUUUUUGCUUCCCGCGACAAACCCAAGCUUCUUAGCCAGAUAAUAUUCCUCCAAACCGGUCACCUCAUGUUAUCUGCAUUGAUGUAUGGGGUUGGAUUUCAUGUUCAUGAGGCUCACAUCUUCACCACAACUGAUGGAUUUUGUUUGAGCAUUUUUAAUGUUGAUGGUUGGCCUCAAGAGUUUUUGUACACUUCCCUUAUAUUCAAUGGGCUAUGUUAUGAUUUGUGCAUGGAAAGGCAUAUCAUACUUGAUAUUUUGUUUCCAGGAUGUCAAAGAUUGAAGAAUGCAUAUGUUGAAGAUGGAGAUAAAUUGGAUAUCCUAUUAGCCCCAUGGAGAUUUAUAAGUGUGUAUGCUGAUGUCAAUUAUCUGUAA
rnacentral:rRNA from 1 species